rnacentral:misc_RNA from 1 species
AAGUCGUAACAAGGUUUCCGUAGGUGAACCUGCGGAAGGAUCAUUAAUGAGUUAGGGUCUCCGGGCCCGACCUCCAACCCUUUGUUGUCACAAAACCAAUUGUUGCUGUGGCGUGGGCACCCGCCCGCGGAGGGCCUGGCCGGUUGCCGUUAGGCCCGGCCAUCGCGGCCCGGCCAAAGACGGAAAAACCAAACUCUUUGUUUAUCAAACCGUACGUCUGAGUAAAAAUGAUUAAAUCAAUCAAAA